AGAGUUUGAUCCUGGCUCAGGAUGAACGCUAGCGGCAGGCUUAACACAUGCAAGUCGAGGGGCAGCGGGGAGGAAGCUUGCUUUCUCCGCCGGCGACCGGCGCACGGGUGAGUAACACGUAUGCAACCUGCCCCUGUCAGGGGGACAACCCGCCGAAAGGCGGGCUAAACCCGCGUACAUGCCACCGGGGCAUCCCGGAGGCAGGAAAGGCUUCGGCCGGACAGGGAUGGGCAUGCGGCGCAUUAGGCAGUAGGCGGGGUAACGGCCCACCUAACCGACGAUGCGUAGGGGUUCUGAGAGGAAGGUCCCCCACACUGGUACUGAGACACGGACCAGACUCCUACGGGAGGCAGCAGUGAGGAAUAUUGGUCAAUGGUCGGGAGACUGAACCAGCCAAGCCGCGUGAGGGAGGAAGGUACAGAGUAUCGUAAACCUCUUUUGUCAGGGAACAAAGGCGGGGACGUGUCCCCGGAUGAGUGUACCUGAAGAAAAAGCAUCGGCUAACUCCGUGCCAGCAGCCGCGGUAAUACGGAGGAUGCGAGCGUUAUCCGGAUUUAUUGGGUUUAAAGGGUGCGCAGGCGGUCUGUUAAGUCAGCGGUCAAAGCCCGGGGCUCAACCCCGGCCCGCCGUUGAAACUGGCAGUCUCGAGUUGGAGAGAAGUAUGCGGAAUGCGCGGUGUAGCGGUGAAAUGCAUAGAUAUCGCGCAGAACUCCGAUUGCGAAGGCAGCAUGCCGGCUCCACACUGACGCUGAGGCACGAAAGCGUGGGUAUCGAACAGGAUUAGAUACCCUGGUAGUCCACGCAGUAAACGAUGAAUACUAGCUGUCCGGGGCGAAUGAGCCCUGGUGGCACAGCGAAAGCGUUAAGUAUUCCACCUGGGGAGUACGCCGGCAACGGUGAAACUCAAAGGAAUUGACGGGGGCCCGCACAAGCGGAGGAACAUGUGGUUUAAUUCGAUGAUACGCGAGGAACCUUACCCGGGCUCAAACGACACAGGAACGUACCUGAAAGGGUUCGGCUCUACGGAGCCUGUGUCGAGGUGCUGCAUGGUUGUCGUCAGCUCGUGCCGUGAGGUGUCGGCUUAAGUGCCAUAACGAGCGCAACCCCCAUCGACAGUUGCUAACAGGUCAGGCUGAGGACUCUGUCGAGACUGCCGGCGCAAGCUGCGAGGAAGGCGGGGAUGACGUCAAAUCAGCACGGCCCUUACGUCCGGGGCGACACACGUGUUACAAUGGCAGGUACAGCGGGAAGCCACCUGGCGACAGGGAGCGGAACCCGAAAGCCUGUCUCAGUUCGGAUUGGAGUCUGCAACCCGACUCCAUGAAGCUGGAUUCGCUAGUAAUCGCGCAUCAGCCACGGCGCGGUGAAUACGUUCCCGGGCCUUGUACACACCGCCCGUCAAG
rnacentral:rRNA from 1 species